UGGUGACAAAAGCGGAGAGGCCACACCUGUUCCCAUCUCGAACACAGCAGUUAAGCUCUCCAGCGGCGAUGGUACUGCCACAUCUCGUGGUGGGAGAGUAGCUCGUCGCCGGGA
rnacentral:rRNA from 1 species